CCCUCGUCAGCUCAGUUUGUAAAGCGCUCCACUAGAAAUGGAGAGGUCCCGGGUUCGAUACCCGGACCAGGCG
rfam:Ixodes scapularis strain Wikel colony gcontig_1108379739094, whole genome shotgun sequence.